rnacentral:tRNA from 1 species
AGCAGUGUGGCCUAGGGGAAAGAGCAUGACCUUGGGAGUCAAAGCACCUGGGUUCUAAUCCUGGCUCUGCCA